GACGAACGCUGGCGGCGUGCUUAACACAUGCAAGUCGAACGGAAAGGCCCUGCUUUUGUGGGGUGCUCGAGUGGCGAACGGGUGAGUAACACGUGAGUAACCUGCCCUUGACUUUGGGAUAACUUCAGGAAACUGGGGCUAAUACCGGAUAGGAGCUCCUGCUGCAUGGUGGGGGUUGGAAAGUUUCGGCGGUUGGGGAUGGACUCGCGGCUUAUCAGCUUGUUGGUGGGGUAGUGGCUUACCAAGGCUUUGACGGGUAGCCGGCCUGAGAGGGUGACCGGCCACAUUGGGACUGAGAGACGGACCAGACUCCUACGGGAGGCAGCAGUGGGGAAUAUUGCACAAUGGGCGGAAGCCUGAUGCAGCAACGCCGCGUGCGGGAUGACGGCCUUCGGGUUGUAAACCGCUUUCGCCUGUGACGAGGCGUGAGUGACGGUAAUGGGUAAAGAAGCACCGGCUAACUACGUG
rnacentral:rRNA from 1 species